UUAGAGAAGAUAGUGAGAGAGAGAUGAGAGAGUGAGUGAGAGUGAGAGAAUUAGAGAAGAUAGUGAGAGAGAGAGAUGAGAGAGUGAGUGAGAGUGAGAGAUAGUGAAAAGAGAUAUGAGAGAGUGAGUGAGAGUGAGAGAUAGUGAAGAGAGAGAUGAGAGAUUAAGUAAGAGGAGUGAAUGUGAGAGAAAGGGUGGGAUUUGGGGAGAGGGAAAGGAGAGGUAAGAGUAGAGAAAGACAUUGAGAAAAUGGUGGAGGAGUUAUUUUGGUUUUAAAAACCGUAUCACUUUGCGCGACGAAAAAUAUAUAUUGGUCGUGCAAAGUUCUGCGCGACGAAAAAUAUUGGAUUAUUGGUCGCGCAAAGUCCAAAAAAAAUUAUAAAAAAAAUUUCUCACGUCUCAUUUUUGGUACCUGCCCAAAUUUUUAAACUUUUGAGCGAAAAAAAAUAUUGGUCUCGCAAAGUCUAAAAAAACAUUUCCCACGUCUCAUUUUUGGUACCUACCCAAAUUUUUAAAGUUUUGCGCGACGAAAAAUAUUGGUCAGGCAAAGUCUUAAAAAAAAU
rnacentral:lncRNA from 1 species